AUGGCUCGUAUUAAGCAGACUGCUUGUAAGUCCACUGGAGGAAAGGCUUCUAGGAAGCAGCUAGCCACCAAGGCUGCCCGUAAGUCUGCUCCCACAACUGGAGGAGUGAAGAAGCCUCACCGUUACCGCCCUGGAACUGUUGCUCUUCGUGUGAUCCGCAAGUACCAGAAGAGCACGGAGCUGCUCAUCAGGAAGCUUCCAUUCCAGAGGCUUGAUAGGGAGAUUGCCGAGGACUUCAAGACUGACCUCCGCUUCCAGAGCCAUGCGGUGCUGGCCCUUCAGGAGGCUGCAGAGGCCUACCUGGUGGGUCUCUUCGAGGAUCCGUGGCGAGAGAGCUUAAGAGCCUGUGAUGUUAUCAGAAUACUUGCUACUCUUAAUGGGUUUAUCCCACUUGAUGAUCUUAACCACCAAGAUCUC
rnacentral:rRNA from 1 species